GACGUAGGGCGCGAGCGUUGUCCGGAUUUAUUGGGCGUAAAGAGCUCGUAGGCGGCUUGUCGCGUCGUCCGUGAAAACCCACAGCUCAACUGUGGGCUUGCGGUCGAUACGGGCAGGCUAGAGUUCGGUAGGGGAGACUGGAAUUCCUGGUGUAGCGGUGAAAUGCGCAGAUAUCAGGAGGAACACCCGUGGCGAAAGCGGCUCUCUGGAACGGUACUGACGCUGAGACGCGAAAGCGUGGGGAGCGAACAGG
rnacentral:rRNA from 1 species